CCUACGGGAGGCAGCAGUGAGGAAUAUUGGUCAAUGGACGAGAGUCUGAACCAGCCAAGUAGCGUGAAGGAAGAAGGACCUAUGGUUUGUAAACCUCUUUUGUCGGGGAGUAAACGUAUCCACGUGUGGCGUUUUGCAUGUACCCUAUGAAUAAGCAUCGGCUAACUCCGUGCCAGCAGCCGCGGUAAUACGGAGGAUGCGAGCGUUAUCCGGAUUUAUGUGGUUUAAAGGGUGCGGAGGUGGGUAGUUAAGUCAGCGGGUAAAUUUGGUGGUUCAACCAUAAAAGUGCCGGUGAAACUGGUAGUCUUGAGUGUGUGAGAGGUAGGCGGAAUGCGUGGUGUAGCGGUGAAAUGCAUAGAUAUCACGCAGAACUCCGAUUGCGAAGGCAGCUUACU
rnacentral:rRNA from 1 species